rnacentral:scRNA from 1 species
GGGGUUGGGGAUUUAGCUCAGCGGUAGAGCGCUUGCCUAGCAAGCGCAAGGCCCUGGGUUCGGUCCCCAGCUCCGAGCAAAAAGAAAAAAAAAAAAGAAAUCUUACGUCCUCUGUUU